UAAAUGGAGAGUUUGAUCCUGGCUCAGGACGAACGCUGGCGGCGUGCCUAAUACAUGCAAGUCGAGCGGACUUGAUGGAGUGCUUGCACUCCUGAUAGUUAGCGGCGGACGGGUGAGUAACACGUAGGUAACCUGCCCGUAAGACUGGGAUAACAUUCGGAAACGAAUGCUAAUACCGGAUACACAACUUGGUCGC
rnacentral:ncRNA from 1 species